UUCUAGAUUUCAAAGCAUGUUAGACACAUUGUUACUCUCUCUAAGGCAAGUGACUUACAAGAGGGGUGCUUGCAAAAGAUUUAAAAAUUAAAUCUGUAGUCCCCUUUCCUGGUAAGAAUAGCGCCAGCUUCUUUGGCUUGUAGACCAGAGGGAAAACCAGCCUGGCUUCCAUGAGGGGUGCUAACCUGGGGGAGAGGAGAAGGGGCGGGGAGGAGGUCGAGCACCCUGGGAUCCCCUAAGAGGUCACUGACGGUAUUUUUCUCAGACGUCUAGAUGGAUAGCAAGUAGCUCUGUUGUCCAGGAAGGGGAGGGGGUAACAGGACCCUUUGUGUUUUGAGUUGAAAACAAAGGAUCCCUGGGAUUCAUGGGAGCCUGCGCUGCCCUGGGGCUCCUGGGACGAGCUGGCACCUGGAAGGCGGCUGUGAAAGAAAACUGGCGGCAGAACUCAGCUGAGCUGCAACCUCGUGAGCUCAAGUGGGGGGUCACCCCUGGCUGAGGUUACCACUGAGGGAAUGGGGUCAUCCUCCCUAGAGAACCUCGGCGGCUGUGCGGGGAUACGGACAAAAGCCGCUUUGUGGAAGACUGUGGGACCGUCCAACGGCGCCACCGUGUGGCGGCGCCGGGCAGCGGCAGACAGCGCAUCCCGGUUCUCACACACACCUGGACCUUCUAAGACAGCCGACUGCUUCCAAGGACCUAUAAAUAAGGUCCUUGAGGGAAUGCCUUCAUGUUUACCCUAUGUAUCCUUCAUGCCUGCAAAGCACAUGGCACAAAGUGGCACUCAGAAAAUUGGAAGAGGGUGGAGAAAGGAGGAAGACAGGCAAGAAGCAGCCAAGGCUGAGAAUUCUUUCACCGAGUUUGCAUGAAGCAUUUUCUGCUAGGCUGCUAUUGCUUCAAAAUGCUGUCAAAUAUGAAUGAGGAUUGCAAAACUAAUAGAAAUAUCUGAGAACCAAUAUACACAGCACAGUGAUCACUCUUCACCCUGCGCUCCAGACUCCUCACUGUUCCUCAAGGGGCCCUGCAUUUGCUUUUGCUCAUUCAUUCAUUCCAUGAAUGUUUAUUGAGUCGCUACUAUGUACCAGGCCCUCAGCCCUCAAGGACCUGAGGCCUGAUGGAAGAGACCAGCAUCAGAAUGUGAUGACAUUUAUAAUUGUACAGAUACAAACUGUAAAAUGUUCUAUGAAGGAAGAUCACAGGCAGCUGAGGGAAAGACUUGCAGGGAAACAAUCUGAUGAGAAGGAUAAGACCUCAAGAAUUAGGAAUGAGAUGGGGACAGGGUGGAAGUUAUUGCAGAUGGAAAGAACAGCCAAUAAAAAGGCCCAACACAUUUCUCCAUCAGAAGACCAACAACAUGGCUACUGAAAAUGGGAGAACUUGUCAAGAGAUGCAUCUGAAACAACAGGGAGGGAAAGGCACUAGAUUGGGGAGGGUGUAGGGCCAUGAACAGACAUGGGAUUGCCCCCCAACUGCAAUGAGAAGACAGUGAGAGAAUUUGAGAAGGAAGUAAUAAGAAAAAAAAAUCAUCCUUGCCCUCAAGGAAUUCACAAUGGUAUAAUUAGAUUAGAAGCUCCAAAAAUGUUAAUUUAGCCUUGGGUAAAAUUAUGAGAACACAAAAAAGAGAUCAUACUACUAUUUUAAAACAGGGCUUGGGAAGAUAUAUUCAGGGUGACGCUAAACACUCGGAGAAUUCUGUGUCUGUUCUGGCUAUUUCCCUUCUCAGUGAAGAUAAGAAAAGAGCAGGUUAGGAAAUAUUUAUGUUUUGGGGGCUACAGGAGCAGAAUGAACAGAAUAAUUGGCCAAAUCAGGGAAAAGUCUUCCUUAAGUUUAAGUGGAUACAGGCUGUUUCUUAUUAUAGGUUGAGUAUUUUUUAUCUGAAAUUUCUGGGACAGAAAUGUUUCAGAUUUGAGGUUUUUCAGAUUUUGAAGUAUUUAUAUUUACAGAAUGAGAUAUCUUGGGGGAUAAGACCCAAGUCUAAACGCAAAAUUCACUUAUGUUUCAUACACAUCUUGUACACCUAGGCUGAAGUUAAUUUGAUACAAUAUUUUAGGUAAUUUUGUGCAUGAAACAAAGUGUUGACUGUGUUUUGACUGGGACCCACCACAUGAGAUGAGCUGUGAAAUUUUCCACUUGUGGUGUCGUGUCAGUGCUCAAAGAAUUUAGGCUUUUGGAUUUUCAGAUUAGAGAUGCUCAGUGUUUAUGAUAAAUAACAAUUUCUUCAGUGUUUACUAGCAAAGAUAGGAAGCUUCAUGAGAUAUUCCUAAUUUACUCUUAAUUUAUUUUUUACAACUGCAUGUUUGGUAUUUGACAUUAUCUUUCUUCUCUUAGCCCAUUGGUUGGCAAUCUAUAGCCCAUGAGCCAAACCCAGCCCAUCACCUAUUUGUACACAGCCCAUGUGUAUUAACCUCAUCUUUUCUAUAUUCUGAGGCUUUGACAUCUGGAGCCUUGGUAACACUGGAGAUUGCCUCUCCUAGGAUUAGCUAACUCCUAAAGAUGAACUCACCCAUGAGUGUGAUUUUCAAAUACAAACCAACCAAAUCCAGAGCCCACAACCCCAAUCAUCUCCUUUAUUGAGCUUUCACACUCCAGGCAUUUAUCCACCUGCCCUAAUUACCCCAGGACCAGGUAUCAGACAACCAGGCAUAGUUUUUAUCCCCAGAGCCCACUGUAAUUAUUCAAACCAGCCAAGCUUAAACCUGCAUAUCUAGCUUACUCCAUUCCUUUCCACAAAAAUCACAAUAAAGGCUCUAGCAAUCUUUCCCUCCCCCUUUGCCUCCUGACCAGCCCCAAUGCUUCCAACACACAGGCCCUGUGUGGGCCCCCAAGGUGUGACAUGCCUCCUUCUCUUGGGAGCUGCGAGUAACAAGUCACAAACUAUGUUUUCUUUCUUCUUUUUUGUUUGUUUGUUUUGAGACAGAGUCUCACUCUGUUGCCCAGGCCAGAGUGCAGUGGUGCGAUCUUGGCUCACUGCAACCUCCAUCUCCCAGGUUCAAGUGAUUCUCUUAGUUCAGCCUCCUGAGUAACUGGGACUACAGGUGUGCACCACCACACCCAGCUACUUUUGUAUUUUUAGUAGAAACAGGGUUUCACCAUGUUGGCCAGGCUGCUCUGAAACUCCUGACCCCAAAUGAUCCACCCACCUUGGCCUCCCAAAGGGCUGGGAUUACUGGGAUGAGCCACUGCGCCUGGUCGACAAACUGUUUUUGAAGGCAAUCAUCUCUCAAUCUGUUGGCCUUCCUGGAGCUCAAAUUUUCUAUUAAUACACUAUCUUUUAAAACAUCAUGAGCUAAGAAUGGCUUUUACAUUCAUACAUGCUUGAAACAAAUCAAAAGACUGUUUCCUGACACAUGAAAAUUAUGUAAAAUUCAAAUUUUAUUGGAACCCAGCCAUUGUCAUUCCAUUACACAUCAUCUGUGGCUGCGUUUGUGCUAUGAUGGUAGAGUUGCAGAGUCGUGACAGGAAACUUAUAGUCUAUAAAACCUAAAAUAUUUACUAUCUUUACAGAAAUAGUUUGCUGACUCCUGCCUUAAUGUAUAGACAUGUUUGCUAUUUUAUUGGUUUACUUAAGCUAUAAACUUGUGUAACCCAUUGCUUUCUAUGUAUAGUAUAGAUCUGUUUAUAAUCUGAAAACUUCAGAAUCUCUAGGUCUAGGUUUCUUCCUAUAGUCUAUCCCAAAUUACUGAGCCUCCAGUGUUUUAUUGAUUUUUUAAAUGAUCCUUAGUAAAAAUAUUUUACAUUGUGACUCAAGACACUCACAUAAAUAAUAGAAACAAAUUUCAUGAAGCAUUACUCAUUCUUAAUGUGUGAAUCACUUUGACAGUUUCCGUUCUCUUCUACUCCAGUUUUUUAAAGUACCAGUCAAAAAUCUACCAAUUUCACACCCCACUUAUGGGUCAAUGCACACAUGUUAAUAAACAUCAUGAAUCUAACAGAUUCAAAUCUAAACAACACAAAAUGUUUCUCUUCUACACUGUCUACCAAGGAAGACGAGUACAGAAACAGCAAUAAAGUUUAGAUGAUAUGAGUUUAAAAGAAGUCUUUAGAAGCAAAGAGGGAUAGAGCUAUUUUUUUUUCAUGGCAUUGUUGGGUAGUUUCAUCAAGAAAGAUCUUGAAAGAUGGUCAGGAAAUCCUGGUAGAGAAGAAAAAAUUGGGGGAGGGCACAACUCGCCCCAUGUCAGAAUGACAUGCUCUGUAACAGAAACUCCACAGGUUAAGAACAAGGUCUUAAGAAAUUUUUUAUUUCUAGUCCCUAGUGUAAUGUUUUACACAAAGUAGUUGCUCAGUAAUUGUUUGUUAUGUGUCCACUGAGUAAUUGCUCCAGGACCUAUUUGAGCCCAACUCUACCCACCUCUAAAUAUGUAAAUUUGAGUUCUUAUAUCCUAUUUUUUCCCACUACUUUUCACUCCUAUUGGGUCAUUUUAAUUAAUGCAACUGACUUUUUUUGAAGGUAUACUGUGGUUAAUGUUUGAAACCAAGAUCCCAAAUUUGUUUCUACUGCUCUGGCUGCCAUGUUUGAUUCUUAAGAAAUUCAUCAGAAGGGACCCAGCAUUCAAACCCACACUGUGUUGCUGGUAGGCUUCCACUGUGAAUCUCUUUGUUUGGUCUAUCAGCCUCAAGGAUCUUCUGUAUGUGAGCUUAAGACCUCGAGAGGCCAGGCCAGGGCUGCCUGCUCUACACUUCCUUUUUCUGAAUGCACCCGGGCCCACUCGCCUGUCCCUCUUACUACAGAGAAGCCAGGAAGAAACAAAUGGAUUUCUGCCUCUUUACACUCACAUUCCAAAGGUUCUGCUUCUACAUGAUGCCAUGUGAAGUCCAGUGCCCCUCCAAGACUCCCAAGAUUCUUCAUGGUCCCUUUGGCUCUGAGUCCUAGCUUUUCAUGAACUCGUGAUAUCACUUGUGUUUGUUUCCUGUGAUGGGUUGUCUCUUUUCUUUACCCCAUUUCCAGGAUUCGUCAUUCACCCCAACCCAAGCCAAUCCACAAGGCUUUUCCCCAGAAUUUGGGAUAGUGGAGAUGUAUGUCACCAUAAGUCUAGCUGUUCUUUUCGUCCUAAAUAUUAUCUGCUUCUCUGUUUUCUAGGUCAGGCAUGUCACUCUCUUCCGGUAUGCCUUAAAAAUCAAUAGCUUGCUUUAUUAAGCAGAAAAUAGCAGAGUUCGCCUUCCUUGUAGUUCUGGGCCUCUCUGCCUGUACCAAACUCAUCCAUUCUGGACAAAAUAAAUUGUUCGUAAUGGGUUUCUCCAUUUCAGCAGUGUACUAAGGGGGUGAUGGAGGAUGGGAGUGGUCUGCCCUGGGUGCAAUAAGGGAGCGCCUGGGUGUAAAUAAUUUAAAAGCAAUAAUAAACUCAACUGAAUAUUCAUCUGCUUUCUAUUAUCACCAUGUGCCAGCAAUUCUAACAAUCUCAGCAAUAAAAUACUCCUCCCCACUGGAACCACUCCCACUGUUACCCUUGCCCAGUAGGACCCACUCCCACUGGUACCCUUGCCCACUGUGCUCCACUUUGGUAGGCACUGCUCCAGUUAGGAACACAAAACAUGCAGGCACCUUGAAAUGUCCAUUGUUCUCAUCCGCUCUGCCAGGGAGAUUUCAUUUUUCAAAGAUAGAAAACUUCUUCCUUCCUGGAAUUCUUUUUUCCAUUGGCUUCUAUGCCACUGCUCUCUCCUGGUUUUUCUCCACUGCCUCUACCUGUAUUUCCUUAGUCUCCUUCCAAAGUUCCCCCUUCUCUGUGAUAGACUCCUUCCCUGAACUAGUCAGGAAGUAGGCAUGGUUAGUUGAUUCUAAGGAGGUACUUACAUGAGCAACCCUUGCCCAAACUUUGCCAUGCAAAUGGAGCCGAAGGAAAAAUAGAGAAGCAUCAUGUUCUGGAGAGGGUUCCAAGGCAUAGCAAGAGAAGUGUUUCCAAAAUGGGGACUUGAAUUGAGCAAGAAGAGACAGAGUGAGGGAGGCAAGGCUAGUCAUCUGCUAUGUGAUGAAGGCAGCUCUCCUGAGGUCUGCUGCAAAAACAUUCUAUGCUAGAUUCAUGUGUAGGAUUUCAGGAAUGAGACAAAGGAUACAGCCAAACAGUCUUUGGCAGAAUUAUAUUACUCCACAGCUCAGCAGAAGGUUUGAAUCUAGAUAAUUGAGGUGAUGGUGGGAGUUUCUAGGUCGGAAAGGCAAAGAACUAGGAAAAACACUGGGAGUAGGUGACCAACCACAGCAGCCUGUGUGUUCCUCUCAUCUUAUAUCCCCCAAAUGAGAGCUGCUCGUCAGUAGUGCCCUAUCUCACAUAUGGCCAGCUAGGGUGAAGCAAAAAGCAAUCCACAAGCUGCCUAAUGGCCCAAUAUGUAUCAAGGUCUUUAUCUAGAAGUAAGUGUCUAAAGAGUAUCUCAGCACUGUGGACAUGGCCAGAGGGCAGGGUGCAACUUCAACACCUUGGAGAGUGGCCACAGGUGUUGCUGAUGUCUGGGAGGGAAGAGAAACAAGGAAAUGCAGCCUCUUCUAUCACAUGCACUUGUAAGGCAGAAAAAAUCUAAACACCCACACUAUGGGCACUAGCAAGGAAAGGAGUCAUUCUCUCAGAUCGGGAGGGAGAACUCUCUGAUCUUUCACUACCUUCCAUGAGGUUUAUCAUUCGGAGACACGAAGCAUCAGUCACUCUGACCCCACAUGCAGCAGGCACCUGAGGCCUUCCCGAAGUGGGUCCUCAGCACCCACUUUAUUCCACUUCACUUCCACUGUGGGAGGUUGAGUUCCAUGCAGUAUCUAGCUACAUCCACAUAUCCGUGCCUCCCUUCUCUGCUUUCCCAUUCACGUCUCCAUUCACCAAAGGCUGGCUCUGCACUGGCAUCUGACAUCCCCACAUGGACUGCUGUAAUCAGAUAGGAAGCUCCAGUCAACUGAAGCAUCUCCAAGAAUCUGAGUGGCUACCAGGCUGCAGGAAGGAAUCAACUCAUCUCUUUGGGUGCCCUACCAAGACAGACAAGAAGAACACUACAAAAAAAAAAAAAAAAAGAAAAUCAUAUGUGAUGAGGGUACUUUAUUUAUAUAUUGGAAGAAUUGGUGUAAAAUUUUGAGAAUGAGGACUCCUUAAGAAGACAUAAAAUCCAGAAGUUAUAAAUGAUUAGAUUGGUAUAUUAUACUAUCAUUUUUUAAUGUUUAUGAUAAAAGUUACCAGAAAGAAAAUGCAAAUGAUAGCGCAGACAAAAUACUUUUAAUACAUGUGAUACACAGGUUAGUAUACCUAAUAUACAAAGAAUGCCUACAAAUUUAUUUUAAAACAGACUAAAAGAAAAAUGGGCAAAGGAGUUGAACAGG